UGCACUGCUUAUGAUUGUAGUAAAAGCGAGACAACUGUGCAAAUCUGCAUGAAAGAUCUCCAAGUGUUUCUGAUCACGACCAAUGUGAUUCCGCUUUUGAUACCUCAGAUCUGUCUGUGAUUAUCCCUAGCCAUAACUCAUCAUGUUCCGAAUCUACAAGCCUGUUGUUUUCUGUCUUUUGAGCCCUGCACCUUUCAUUUGGGAAGGCUGGGUGAGCAGUUCUGGCAAGGAAAUGUGCUUUGAUUUCCAAUGCCUUUCUCAUGUGGAUGAAAUAAGAUUUCUUAAUCUCUUUCUAAUUAGUAGUAUUUUCAUUCCUGUUGAGGAAAGGUGUGUGCACACAUUUUUAUUUUGUUUGUUUGAUUUUUAGAAAACUCAUGUCAACAUCUAAAACUAGAUGGAGUGUAAGCAUAAUUUAUAAAAGUGGAGAAAAUGAGUAAGAGAAGGAGGAGAGGGAGGACAUAUCAACAUAAUCGGUACCAGUGUCACCACCAUCAUUACACAACCAUGGUGUAUCACACUAUCCUCAUGGUGGUCAUCACUUUACCACCAUCAACCUCAUCACGUCCAUCAUCACUAUCAUUUUAUCGUUGUCACUACUGCCACCUCCACUACCACAACCGUCAUCAUCACCAUCACCACCAUCAUAAUUAUCAUCACUUCACCAUCAACACCAUCUCUGCCGUCAGCUUCAUCACCACCCUCACAGCUACCAGCAUCACUGCCACCAUCAGCUUCAUCACUUUGCCAUCACUAUGAACCUCCAUCAUCAUCACCACCUCCAUGAUCAUCACCAUCACCGUCAUCACCACCAUCAUCACCACCACGAUCAUCAAAAAUACCCGUAUCACCUUCAGGAUCCUUUGCACUGUAAUCACCACCAUCACUCUCACCGUGUCUACCAUCACCUUUAUCAUCAUGAUCACUUGCCGUCACCAUCACAAACCACCCUUAUCACCACCAUCACCACCACAAUUAUUACGGUCACCACCACCAUCAUUAUUACCAUCACUUCACCCUCAUCGCCACAUCCAUCAUCAUCUGCAUUAUCAACACCAUCAUCAUCAUCGUCAUCAUCAUCAUCAUCAUCAUCAUCAUCAUCAUUAUCAUCACUGUCACUUCACCCUCAUCACCAUAUCCAUCAUCAUCUGCAUUAUCAACACUGUCGUCAUCAUCAUCAUUGUUAUCAUCAAUGUCACUUCACCCUCAUCACCACAUCCAUCAUCAUCUGCAUUAUCAACACCAUCAUCCUCAUCAUCAUCACCAUUGUUAUCAUCACCGUUAUUUUACCCUCAUCAUCACCUCUGUCAUCACCACCAUGAACACCAAUGCUUUACCAUCUGUCUCAUCGUCACCACCAUCAUUAUUAUCAUCAUCUCUAUCAUCCACAUCAUCAUGUCAUUGCUUCCAUCAUCACUACCACCAUUAUCAUCAUCACCAUCACCACAGCUAUCAUCUUCCUCUUCAUCAUAACUAUCAUCACCUACACCAUUGUUAGCCUAUUCUCCAUAAUCUUAAUAAUGGUAAUGAGAAUAGAAUACGACCUUACCGCUUACACUGUGGUAGUUUUAUAGAAUUUUAUAGUUUCUAUAGACAUUUCAGCUUUCUAUCGGCUUUCGUGGCAGUUGGAUUCUUAUCUCUAUUUCACAGUUGGGGGAAUGGGAGGUAUAGGGAAGUUUAAAUAAAUUGGCCCAAAUCUCUGAACCAGCAAGUGGCAAAUCUGGGAUUCAAAGGGCUAUGAUUUGAAUCUGAAAUGCUCCAUCCAUGUCUUUGUUUUGAAUGCUCGGUAUCUGGCUUAUGGUGUUAUUUUGAAGUCUUGUGGAACUGGUGACUGGGGGCAGGACUCUGAAGGUUAUACCUGCUUCUGGUUUCCACUGGCUCUCUAUCAGCCACCGUGAGAGACCACUGCUUCACACUAACGCUGUUGGGGACAGCGCCUCUCCCACCCCUUUACUAUCCUUGCUAUGGAAAACUGAAAUCCUGGAGAACCUAUACAUCUUUCUUCCUUACGUUACUUUUGUCACUGCAGUGAGGAAAUAAUACACAAACCCAGCAGCCCGACUCUAGGGUAGAGUCCUCACAAUUAGCCCAUGUUAAUGAAUAUGGUAUAGGUGACACCCUACCGAAUGGGACAGUUCAGAUGGAUGUGGCCCCUCUGCUAUAGCUAGGAAAACCACACUGUGGAUGCACAGGAGCUAUCUAAUAUGCUGGUUUUCUUCUCUGUGUGAUGUCCCUCCCUUGGAUUGUUAUUUUUCUUCCUUCAGAAGUACCUAGUUCCCUUAGGGCCUGUUUUCCCUAGAGGGAGUUCUGAGUAUGUUAUGGCCCCAUCAGGAGUGGUAGACAGGAGCCAAGUUCCUCAUCAGUUCUGCUCUGUGGCUGUGGGCAUCUUGGUGACCUCUUUCUGAUGCCCCCCCUGCUCUAAUGCCUUCUGGUGACUUUUCUAUUCUAACACUGGGCAUGCUCAUCUCACUGGAUUUGCCUAUGGACAGAGGUGACCUUGAUGCCUGCAGCUAAAAAGGAGCUUGUAUAUCUCUAUGCCUUUCUCUGGACCCUGGCCACUUUCACGGAAAUGCUUGGAUUGGCCUGUACAAGGGAUGCAGACUUGGAAGACCCCCAAGUCCUUUGAGCACUCUGGAGCUAACCAAGCCCAGGAUGCCCAGAACAUAUUGAUCUGUGGACAAUAACCAGUGGGGAUGGCUUUGCUCCACAAGGUGUAGGUGGGUUGUCACACAACAUCAUUCUGUGAGUAGAUGAUAGAUACACCUGAACCUGGAAGCAGCCUAGGACAGAAGGACAAAUGCACAGAGGGGUUUCAGGCAUGGGGCUGCAUAGCAAGGCCCCACUGAGCACUACUAAAGCCCUGCCCCCUUGGACUGAGGCCAGGCUACUCUUGUGGCUAGUCUGCCUUCUUGCCCUGGAAAGUUCUCCAUUCUUUUCUAUACCAUGCUGCUUCCUCAAUAUAAUGCCCAACUGAUGAAUGAAAAGUGUCUCCCAUCCGGGCUCCUGGAUUUGAAUACUUGGUACCCAGUGGGUGGUGUGGUUUUGAGAGGCUGUAGUACCUUCAGGAGGCAGAGCCUUGCUGGAGAGAGCACAUCAUUUGGAGUGGGCUUUCUGAGUUUAUUCCCUGUCUCAGUUAGGGUUUCUAUUGCUGUGAAGGGGCACCGUGACCACAGCAACUCUUAUAAGGGAAAACACUUAACUGGGGCUGGCUAACAGUUUCAGAGAUGUAGUUCAUUAUCAUCAUGGCAGAACAUGGUGGUGUGAAGUUAGACAUGGUGCUGGAGAAGGAGCUGAGAGUUCUACAUCUUGAUCCACAGGCAGCAGAAGGAGGCUGUGUGAGCCAUACUGGACAUAGCUUGAGCAUAUAUAAGACCUCAAAGCCUGUCUCCACAGUGACACACUUCUUCCAACAAGGCCACACCUACUCCAACAAGGCCACCUAUCACCUCCUAAUAGUGGCCCUCCCUAUGGCCAAGCAGUCAAACACACGAGUCUAUGGGGGAGCAUACCUAUUCCAACCACCACACACACUCAUUCCAUUUUCCACUCCACCUUGUUCCCACUCUCUGCUUUGAGUUUGUGGUUGACAAUGUGAUCUCUCAGCUUCUUCCUCUGGCCAUUGUUGCCAUGCCUCCCCUUCCAUGAUGGACUCUUAUCCCUCUGGACCCAUGGGCCCAUAUUAAAUUCUUUUUCCCUUAAAUUUCCUUUAUCACAGCAACAGAAACUAGCUAUGAACCUUUUUCUUGUUUUCGAGGCAGGGUUUUUGCUUUGUUGCACAGCCUGGCAUGGAACCUGCUGUCUUCCCACCUGCAUCUCCAGAGUGCUGCAAUUUCACGAGCAGCCUGUCCACUGUCCUACUUUUAUCUUAUUCCAGGCAGAUUUUCAAUAAGCACACAGACCCUAAAUACAUCGAGGUUGUGAAAUAUGAGGUUGAUGAGUAAGGUAACCUGACUGUGGUCUGUCUUCAUCUUCCCUUGGACUGUAGCUGGCAUUAGCUCCCACUGUAGUAUGAGACAUUUCCUGGAUGAGGAGGCUACUUGGGUCUGAACAAACACUUUCCCAGAGUGGCAUGCCUUAUGACCCCAGAGCUAGGCUGCAGAAGUGCAGGCCUGAGCGUCUCAGGAGCCGGUUGUUGAGAUGGUAGACUCAAUGUUCACGCUCACUCUGACGUGAGGCGGUACUAGGGACAGGUGGCCUGUCAAUCAGUCAGACUUCUGAUUGUCCCAUUUUACUGCCAUCCUCAUUCCCUUUCCACACAGUCUAGAUGCCACAUAUUUAACAUGGUUGUGGGUCCCCAUCUGCCUCUGGCAGCAGUGAACAUGCCAAGGACACAGACUUGAGCUGCUGUAACCCUGAGAUUUCUGUAGAAUAGCACCCUGAGCCCCUCAAGUAUUGCAAAACAAGCAAAUAUCUGCAGGUCUUCACUCAGCUUCCUUACACACACACAUGAGACACUGACCAGACCUUUAUUUUGAGGUUUCUACGGCGAGCGUUCUCCUCUAUCACUGGCUGGCCACUGACCCACAGAGCACCCCUGCUACUUGCUCUGCUCUGUGAGGUGCCUGUACUUCUUGGCACCAGACUCUUAUUAUUUUUAAUCCUUCCACAUCUCCCUUCUCCGCCGAUUCCAUUAGCAGAAGAAAUUUUUCUUUACUAAGUCAUAAUAUUCAUCAGGUAAUUUUCUGUUUGCUCUCUUUAAAAUUUUAUUUUUUCCAUUAAAGCAAUUUAUGCGUCUAGGUGUUUUGUCUGCAUGUAUGUCUGUGAAUCACAUGUGCAUAGUCACCAGCGGAGGCUAGAAGAUGGUAUCAGUUCCCCUGGGACUGGAGUUACAGAUGGUUGUGAGCCACCAUGUGGUGUCUGAGAAUUGAACCUGGGCCUUCUAGAAGUGCUCUUAACAGCGGAACCAUCUCUCCAGCCUCUUACAUACACUCUCUUUCUUUUCAUGUGUGUAUAUGUGAUAUGUGUGUGCGUGUGUUGUAGGACAGGCCCAUAGGGUCAAGGAAAUUGGCUCAGACCAGUUGCCAAGGCAUGUACGUAAUGUACUCCUUAUGAGCCAACCUGGAGUCUGCCUGAAGACCUAGUAAUAGGAGCUAUCAGAGGUCCUGGGCGCUGUCAGAGUUCCAGAUCAUGCCCAGCCAAUGAGGGAUGACCACAUAGACUGCGUGCUGGGAGGAGGGUAUAUAAGGCUUUCCCUGUUAUUGAAUAAGUGAGUUUAUUAUUUGCCUUCAAAGGACUCCCAGUGUCUGUGCCAUUGAUACCGUGCCUUCUCACCCCCUCCCCCAAGGGAGCAACAUGCAUGCAUGCAUGCAUGUAUGUAUAUGUAUGGGCAUGGGGGUGAUCCCACAAUGUGUGUGUGGGGGUCAGAGGACAGCCUCUGGUGUUGCUCAGUCUCUUCCACCUUGCUUGGACAGGUCUCUUGGUUUUUUUACUGGUAGCCUGCAGUGUCUGGGGAUUCUCCUAUUUCCACUCCCAUCUUGCCAUAGGAGAACUGGGAUUGCAGAUGUGUCCUGCUGUAUCCCGUUCACAUGGUUCUGGGGGUUCUAAUUCAGGCCUGCAUGCUUGCGUAGCCAGUUCUUUGCUCGCUGAGCCACUUUCCCGAGUCUAGUCUCAUUUUCAUUCGGUCAGACGUUUGCUAUAGUUUGAACCUGGGCUAUCUAUCAAAAGUCCACGAGCUAAAGCCUGGGAUCUCAUAAUGGCAUUGUUAGGACUUGAUGGAGCUUUUAAGAGGUAAGGUCCAGGGGGAAGUCUUAGGUCACUGGGGACAUGGCCUUGAAGAGGAUGAGGGACCCUGGUCCCCUGUUUGUUCUCUGUUGGACAACCUGGCUAUGAAGAAGUAUUUUACCACAAUCCUCUGCUGUGCUACAUGACCUCACCACCACAAUCCUCAGCUGGUCCUAGACUGGAGCCUCUGAAACUAUGAGCCAACACAAACCUUUUAAUCUUGUAAGUUGAUUGUCUCAGGCCUUUGUUAUAGUCAUGCUGACUAGUAAAGCAUUUGUUUUAGGAAUCUUGUGAAUUACAGACUAAAGCAGUGACCUUUUGAUUCAGGAGAAGGGACCAGUGGAGCAGCUGCCUCCCAGCCAUGUGGAAGGUAUGUUAUCAUCCUCUGGGGUUACAGAGUUUAGAGCUGCUCCUGUCAGGCACUAGCUAAGACUCAGGCCUGCUUCCCUAGCCCCUCCAGCAUUCCAGUUCUCCAUGAACACAAACUGUGCAGUCCCCUUCCCAUGCACAUGCCGAGUUGGGUCCAGUGCAAUAGAAAACUCAGGCCCUUUUGUUCAGAAGUUAAGGAUUUUACAAUAGUGACAGCGGUGUCUCGGGCCAAAAGGGAAGCCUUCUGAUCUCAGGGCCCUGUGUUCUGCCAAUCCACAGAGCCAGCCUUGGGCCUCUGCCUACUUUGCUCAGUGUGUCUAGGGAGGUGUGAUUCUCCCAGCAUGUGUUCUAGAUAACACCCUGCAGAUGAUGCUCUGGGAUGGAUUGCAAGCCUGGGCACUGAGCAAGACUAUGAAAUACGAGACACUGGAGGAAAGUUCUCCUAGCCCAUCUUCUGAAGGUGCAUUUUUUUCCUUACACACAAACACACGCACACACACACACACACACACACACACACACACACACACACACACACACAUUUACCAUGUGUAUUAGUUAUUUUUCUUUUUGGUAUGACCAGUGCACCUGAUGGAAACACAGUGCGAGAACAGAGGAGCUUUGUUGACCCACAGUUUGAUGGUUUCAGCCCAUCAUGGCAGGGAAGGCAUGGUGGAACUGCUCAGUUCACAGAAGCAGAAGUGGACGAUAGAGGCUGUUCAAAUCCUGGUAGACAGGAAGCAAAGAACAAAGCAGGAACCAGAGGCAAAUCUAUCUUUGUCAAGGUCCUGCCCCUCAGUGACCUACUUCUACAGGCUAGACCAUACGUCCUGGGGGUUCUAGGUCCGCCACCAGCUGUGGACCAGGUGUUCAGACACUAAGCCCACGGGGGUAUUUCACAAGCUGUAAUAGCAUGCUUAUUGGUAUUGGUAUUAACAAUAUUGACUUCAGCAAAUUCACCAAUUUUACUGCAAAAAUAUUUUGCUUAUAUAAACCUUAAUGUCUUUUGCCUGUGGGGGCAACUGAGGACUUCUCUCCCCUUCCCUGUUUCUCUCCCUCCUCCUUUCUUUGUUCCUCUCUUCUCUCUUUCUGUAAUCUCAGAAUGAGAGCUAAACGGAUGGCAUAUCCAUCCUCUUCACACUUUCUAGAUGUUAUAAGGACUAAAUGACAUAAAACCACUGGUGAGCUGCGUUCAGUUCUUGCUUCAUUUUAAACACUUAAUAAAUGGAGCUGUUAUUCUUGGUAGCAGAACUGCACGCUGGGAGUGUAACUCAGUAGGAAAGGGCUUGCCUAGUAUAAGCAAGGCUCUAGUUUCCAUUCUCAGUACAAAGGAAACAAGGUGCCCUUGAGUAUAAUUACAUGUCUGGUACUUUUGGAGGGGUGCUUAAGAGCUGCACAGGAGGCUGGAACCCCUUACUACGCCUUCCCCAUCAUGAUAGACUGUAGCCUUGAACUGCUAGCCAAAAUGAGCUCUUCCUUAAAUUGUAUUUGUUAGGUCUCUCUUUCUUUUUUAUUACAGUAAAAGAAAGUAAAGAAUAUAACCCAAUUUUAUCCUCAUCACCCAAGAAAAUCCCAAUAGUCUAAGGGGUGGCCUGGGCGUGAGGAGCAGUGGAAACCAUGGCUGCCCUUGCUUGUCCUUCCAACCUUGCAUCUCUGCUCAUCAAUGCUUCACUGAGUGGCAGCGGGAUGACUCUUGCUGCCAAUUGUCACUCCUGCUUAGAGAGAUACCAGGGAACGGGCAGCCUUCCACUUGGCUUUGCUGAGCCCCUGGGAGCCCCCAGUGACUAUGGGAUAUGCCUGCCAUAGAACCUAAAGGCCUCUGUAGGAGAAAGGGGACAGGAAGGCAGUGGGGCUGGAUUGGAGUGGAGGGUUUUCCCCAAGGGAAGGACUCCUGGACAGACAGUGUGAUGGAAGGACACACUGCUCUUUGAAAAGGCAUCGCCUUUUAUUUUUUUAUUUUUUUUUUUUUAAAGAUUUAUUUAUUUAUUAUGUAUACAGUUUUCCAUCUGCACAUAUCCCUGCAGGCCAGAAGAGGGCACCAGAUCUCAUUACAGAUGGUUGUGAGCCACCAUGUGGUUGCUGGGAAUUGAACUCAGGACCUUUGGAAGAGCAAGCAGUGCUCUUAACCUCUGAGCCAUCUCUCCAGCCCCGGCAUCGCCUUUUAAAUUAUGGUAUUUAUAGAGGAUUCUGAGAUGUAGACUCAAUUCUUAGAUUUUGAGUGACAUAUAACAUUGAAGGAAAGGACUCCUAGUUGACAUGGCAUCUAUGACUCCCAUUACUGAAUGUUCAGAAGUUUUAGGGACACAUACUUACAGAUGGAUAUAUUCAGUAUAUGCCUGGCAUUGUUUGUGAGACCACAUGGUUCUGUGGUUUCCAAAGGCUAACACUAACAUGAAAGACACCCAUGAACCAUGUGAUUCAGGACACAGUUGUUUGGUAAGAUUUGUGAUAUUGAACAAAACAUUAGCUAUUCUGAAAGCUACCAGGCAAUGGAGAUUGCAUAGCAUUAUUUUCUCUUUUGUUGUAUUUUCUAUACAAACUCUAUCUUGGAAACGAUGAGCAAUAUUCAAACUGCAUUUGUUCAGUAUAUAGCCUUUCCUUCUCAGAGUAUUGAGCUGUGUGAAUGGGACUUACAGCCAGGAUAGAAUCAGUGAUGAGGAUUUGCUCCCAACCACCAGGAACUGGUUUUCAUUACUUUAGGAGGGAGAGUGUCUGCAGUGCCUCCCUGGGUGAAGAGUGUCCCUCCCUGCUGGUCUUUCUUGUCUCUUCCCUAAUUUAGAUGUUCUGCAGAUACCCGCCUGGGUCUUCUGGCCCCAUAUCUGCAGGACACCGUGCUUUCUCUGCUGUCUACACAACAAACACCUGUCUUCCCUACAGAUUCUUCACUGUAUGAACUGUUCUUCUCCCUGGAGGUAAGUUAACACCUGGCAGCCUUAUUGAUCAGCCAUAUUGAACACAAAAUGCAGGGUCUUCCUUCAAUGCUAUUCCCAAGGCCAGUUCUGCCUCCCUCAGCUUUUCUUAUGCUCUGUGUUGGGCAGCUCUUUACCUAUCUGAAGCCUUUGUGCUGGACAAAAUGUGGCACAAGCAGGUGCUCCACAGAUGGGAGUGGAUACACGUAGAGCUCCUACUGAGAUGACCCUGUCGAUCAGUUUACUUUUAUUAAUUAAGAGUUUUGUAAAUGCAUGCCAUGUAUUUUGAUCGUCUUUGCCUCCCUCCCCCCCCAACACCUCCCAGAUAUAUCCUCUAUCCUCUCUCAAUUUCAUGUCCCCCAUUUUUUUCUGGUGGGGGGCAGAAUUUAUUUUGGUUUAUAGUCCAAGGUUACAGGGUAUGUGAAGGAAAUCAUGGCGGCAGAAACUAGAGGCAGCUGAUCACAUAGCAUCUGCACUCAGGAAGCAGACAAAGAUGAAUGUUGAUGGGCAGCUUACUGUCUGCUUUUUAUUCAGUCUGGAACCCUAACCAUGGAACAGUGCUGCCUGUAGUAAGGGUAGGUAUCUCCACCUCAAUUAACCCAGUCUGUGUAUUCCAUCUCAUAAACACGGUCAAUUACUUGAGUAUGAGGGGGUUCUAGAUCUUCCAAGUUGACAUUCCAUAUUAAACAUCACCUUACAGAUAUCUAGAUACAAGAGUAGAAAGGCUGAGUUAGCCGGAGGUUAGACUCAGGAGCAGUAUGGGGGUGAUUUGUGUUUUAAAAAAUGUUUUUAAUUGAAAUAGAAUUAUAUCACUUCUCUUCUUUUCCUCCCUCACGCCUCUCCCAGUUAGUCCCUUCAAACCCUUCCCAUGCUCUCCCACUCUCAAGUUGAUAGAUUCUUCAUCUUUGAUUAUAUUUGUUACAUGUAUGUGUGUAUGUAUAUAUGUAUGUAUGUGUAUGCACAAAUAUAUACACACAUACACACAUAUAUAUACACACAUACACACACCCAUAUAUAUAUAUAAACUAUUGAGUCCAGUUUUGUUGUUUGUGAAUAUAUGGUUUCAAGGCUGACCACUCUGCAUUGGACAAUCAAUAAGGGCCUCAUCUUUGGGAAAGGCUAAUUCUCUUCCCAGCAGUCAAGAGUUGCCAAAUUGCUUAUAGUUCUUUGUCUAGGGGUAGGACCCUGUGAAAAUUUCACCCUUUCAUAUUGACAUGUCCAUUGAUACUGCUAUUGUUCCAGUCUUCUUGUUAUGCAGGCUGUUUCUUCUUGUUUUCCUCCUCCUCCUCCUCCUCCUCCUCCUCCUCCCUCUUUCUCUCCCUCCUCCUCCUUCCUUUUCUUCCUUUUCCUCCUCCCUCUCUUCCUCUUCUCCUUAUUCUAUGACCCAUUGAAUCUAGUGUGUGCUGCCCAUAAACAUAUAGGUGUGGGAUCACCCUGGAGAGUUGUGAACCUACCAGAAGACACAAUCUUAAGGAAAACCGACUCUGCCUUCCCAAGAAACCAUCAACUGUCAAUAGAUUCUCAGUUAUGGGUGGGAAGUGGUGAGUCUGCUGACUGAUUUGAUCUUGUGCAGACAGCCACAGAUACUGUGAGUUCAUGAGUCCUGUGUUAUUUUUAUAUUUGGAAGAUAUUGUUUCACCCCAGUGCUUCUUGAUCUCUGACUUUUAAGAUCUUUCUACCCCAUCUUCCUCAACAGUCCUUGGGCCUUGGUUUUAUUUUGUUUAUUUGUUUAUCUUUCUUUUAAAAUUUGUAAUGAAAAAUUUUAAAUUUUAAAUGCUCCUGAAGAGGCACAGACACCAAUUCACCAAUCUAAUCACCUUUACCUACAAUUAUCAAUAUUCAUCAAUAUGUUAUCAGAUUCUUCUGUUUACCACUAUCAAUAACAGAUAUGUUUCACCUGUAAAAAGCUGUUGUAUUUGUCUUUAAAACUAGAGGGUUUAGAGUGAUUAUGCCACCAUCAUACCUAAUAUUCACAGUGUUCAACAUACCUAAGAUUCAUAGUGUAUUAAUGGUCUAUCUAUCUAUCUAUCUAUCAUCUAUCUAUCUAUCUAUCUAUCUAUCUAUCUAUCUAUCUAUCUAUCUAUCAUCUAUCAUCAUCUAUCUACCAACUGAGAAUCUAUUAUAUCAUCCAUCUAUUCAUCUAUCAUCUAUCAAUUUAUCUAUCUAUCAUCUAUCUAUCUAUCUAUCUAUCUAUCUAUCUAUCUAUCAUCUAUCUACUUAUGUUUUCCCUGGUUGUCCUUGGAGAUUACUGGAGAUCUUUUCACAUGGAAAAGAACACAUAUUUGACAUGCUAGUGAGAGCUUUUGAGGAGCAAGGUCCCAAGCCUGAGGCCCAAGAUCCAGCCUUGCUCUAUUGUGUGGUCACUGAUGGCUUCAUCUAGAUACAUUUCUGGGCUCUGGGUCCUUGAGUCAUUAGUGUGAAAUAAAAUGCUACUUGCCUGAAAGCAGAGGGGGCAAAACAGGUAUCAAAAAAAUCAAAGAAAACAUUUCUAGCAAUGAGGUCAAUGGUUCUGUGACAUACAAAAAAUCCACACAUGGCAGUUUCUCAGCGCUGUGUGCACCUGCUUGCCUGGAGCUUCCCACUAUCAGCCAACAGAGCAAGAUUUGAAUUAGAGGCCUCAGCCUUCCGUGUAAAGGCUCCAUUUCAGUUUGAGGACUUUUGAGCAAGGCUCAGGGCCAUCCUUUGUAAUGUGUGCCAGUGUUUGCCAGCCCUGACUGAAGCAUUACCAUGGCAACAGAGAGCAUGUAAAACCGACAGGUUCCAGGAUGAACUGUUCAAGGCACACCAACGCAGAGCGCUGAGGGAAAGCUUUAUUUUCUACGUGAUGGCACAUCUGCUGUUAAGGAAUGUUAACUUGCUAUUUCUUCCUUUUCAAACAGCCUGGCUGGUGCGGGGCAGGAGGUUGACCUGGAAGAUGAGAAGGGAAAGGAAGCUACCCCAGACCUUUUAGCUUGGUGGGGCACACUGGGCGGGCCUUGGUGGGUCCUGUUUGAGCCCGUGGCUCUGUGGCUCCCCCUGCAGCUUCUCCAUCCUGAGAUCUGUGCCGAGCUUUCUCUGCUGGGUUCUAGAAAGGGGACGAGAAAACAGUUGCUCCCACAGCCAAAGGGCUGCCUCUUGAUGUCUCCUUCUGAAACCAACCAACUAAUCAACAACCAAAAGUGCUAUUCCUAUGUUCUAUUCCAACUGACCAACAAUUUACCUUUGAAAAGCCAGAGGGCCCCCCUUACUGUACCCCCUGCCAAAGCUCUAGACUGUAACCACUGGGAGAAUAUUGUUCUAAUCCUUUGGUCUCUGUUGAGCCAAAACUCCAAAGGAAGCACGCACCUUCCUUCAGCAGAUCUAACAUCUUCAGGAUUCCAAUGUAGAAUGAAGACCAGCAGCUGUUUAGGGGUCCCAGGACCCCAGCACCAGAUUGGCCUCUGAUUCCUGAAGACCCAACCAGGGCCACAGCAGGUGUCCUCGGGUGGCGCUCUGAGGACAUCCACCUCACGGUGGUGCUGAAGGAUGAAGAGUCUCCUUGGGGUUCCUAUUCCAGUGCUGCCGAAGUGGAACUUGGCACAGCAGUUGACUGCCAAAGACACAAAGCAAGGGAAGGCAGAGCCAGGGCCCAGUCUGCUCCAACUCUCUGAUACCUGACACUUCUAUUCACAGGGGCACAAGCCUGUGGCAGCCUCCAAGAAGUCACCACUGUGGGACAGCCAGGAAAACACAAAUAAGAUGUGUGUUGCUCAGAGUGUCCAGAGCAUGCCUGCAAAGGGUGAUAUUGUGGAGACAUCUCUGGACCACUGCUAGUGCCUCUGUGGGUGUCAUAAUAGAAAUACAGCAGCCCUCAGGGACCAAGAAUGAGCCACUGGCAUCCCAGAAGCUUUCAACAGAGGGUCACAGUUCCCACUGCUCAUCAAAGGGGCUUCUUUCUGCGGCAGAUGGAGACCAUCCUCGAAAGUCACGACUGGUCAAACCACAGAGAACAAUUGACCCUGACCGUGAGGUACCCAGCACCACGUGACACAUCUACAACACACCCUCUACAUCGAAGGCUCAGGGAACUUUUUGGAACAUAGGACAGAAAGACUGCAUCUGGAGCAAUAUUGAUGUUCAGAGAGUGCAGAUUGAAUGUGCCAGCAGCAAGGAGAGGAAGAACCAUGGUACCUCCCCAAUACCAUGGGAGGGAAAAGGGUGCAUCGUGCCUCCUGAGAAGCCCUGGACUGAGUUCUGAGUGAGAAAAGGAAGCUCCUGAACCCUGAUGCCUCUUUCACCAGGUGGGAUUUGUUCUCUGCUCCACUGUAACCAGCUGCUGGUAUGAACAUGCUUGGCCUUGAACUCAGGUACAGUCUGAGGCAGGCUUGCUGCUACUUCUUCAGGCUCCCAACAUCAAGGUUGUGCUGAGCUGCCCCAGCUCAGUGGACACUGCCAGGGGCACUCAGUCCUUGGUGCCUAGGUGUGUUCCCUAGAAGUUCUCCUCACUCCCCUCUUCCUCUCCCUCCCUCCCUCCCAUCUCUCCCUCCCUCUUCUCUCUCUCCUUAUUUAAUCUCCCUCAGACACUAGAGACCCUGAGGCUCCUUCCAGGUGUGCUCUCUGGAAGAGGCAGGUUUUUCCCAGUGACAUCUGAAUGAUCAUCCCUGGUGUGGCCCUGGAGCCCCUCCAUUGCCUUGUGUCCUUCAGGCCACCAUCAGCCACUUACUUCCACGUGGAGUGGAAUGGCCCAGUUUUCUUCUCAACAACUCUAAACAACAAAAGUCUUCAAGUCUCUAACAGACAUUCACGGGGCACCGUCUAAAACAGACACGAGGCUCUGCUGCAAUGAAGGCCAAACACUAUGGUAAUACCACAGAUGUGGACGGCCAACAUGUCUGUCACCGUCUCUUAGAGCUGAUGUUGCCCAAGAGGGAAACCAGCUACUGUCAUCUCUGUGGAAGGAGUGGGUUGAGGUGGACUGUGGACAUAAUAGCAGUGGACGUUUGGAGUGUAUAUCCUCUUCUUGGGCAUCAGUCCGUCUCAUCCUGCAAAUCUGCACGCAGAAAAUACAGGCAUGUUGCUGUGGGUACAGCUGGAGAAAGAGGAUCCCUGGGCCCAGAUUUCCACAGCAUCAGGUUCACCACCCAUCAGAGAAUCUGAGAUGCUGAAACUGUCUGAGGCAAUCCUGUGAUCAAAUGCCAUACUUCAAAAAUCGCACAUCAUUCUUUGAAGCUCAGGCUCAUGGUCUCCCAACACAAUUAAUUGGAAUAACAGCACAAAAGAUGACUGAAAGUGAAAAAAAAAUCCCAGUGCAUGUGUUUGGGGCAGAGCAGAGGGUCAGAGCAAGCCAUGCAGCGCCUGAAGAGAAACAGGCAAUUGUGAAUUAGAACGGAUAUUUGGAGAAUGCUGUACACAAGCCCCAGGUGGAGAUCAUUCAAAAUCUUGGCAGAAAAAGCGUGGCUCGAAGGUAGGAGGACAGUGUGGCUGGAAACAGAGGAGAUUCUAUGAGCAACCAUAAUGGGUCCCUACAGAUGGAGGCGUGAGUGGUCACAUCUUGGAUUGUAGCACGUGGCUCAUUGGGGUCAGCCCCUAAGCAAGAUCUCUUCUUCUGCAUUCACACAGACUUUGGGGACUGGACCUUCAUCUGUCACCACAAUAAAGAGCACAGCCUAGGAUUGGUUCAGGAGGAAAAGCAGAGGCCAGAAGCCUUCCCCAGGAUGGAGAGUUCUCAGGAGGCAGAGGGCACAGGUGUGGGUCCACCCCAGCAUGGCGGAGGUUUGUUCACCUACAGAGUCGGCCUGAACCAGCCACCCACUGCUCUUUGGCUUUUAAGGGGGAGCAGUAUGUGCCUGGCAUCCAGAUGCCCCAUGUGAACAGGAAAGAGGCACUGAUGGAUGGCGGCGCCACAAUGAGAAAUGGAUCAAUGUAUCAUCUCACCUGGUAUUGGCAUUCUCACUCAGAGAGGAGGCCCAGCAGAGGUCUUACAGCGUGGGCUCCAGCUUCGCCUGUCGGGAGGACAUUCCCCCAAGGAUAAGAGGAUGGCAGCCUGGCCUUUCUUGGAGCUUCCUCCAUCAUAGUACAUGGAUGGGGGUGGCAUGAGCAUGCAGUCUGCACAUCUCCCCAGAAGGCCUCAGAGACAUAGGUCUUUGGUUAUCUGGAGCUGGUGUGUGGAGUCCCACCCUCUACAUGGGAGGAGAGAAUGGAGGAGCACCAGGGUGGAGUUGGGGGCACUAGCUACGACAUGAGAAAGGACAACAGAAGUUGAAGAAUGGCUGGCUUGCUUUUCCCGGAGCCUUCUCCUCUCCACCUCCAUGAGAAGACCAAGGCAUGAAGAGGAUUUCCAGAGAGAGUGGAUUGCAGCUGAGUGGGAAAGAUAUCCCAAAAGAAACUGGACCCCACCCCAGAUGGCUUCAGUGGAUCCCUCUCUUCUGCUCUACGUCUUCAGCUUCUGCCUUCAUAGAGAGGUAUCAGAAAGGAGGCUUCUGAAUCCAUCCCUGAGUGAGCACACCCAAUGCCCAACAGCAAACCAGGCUGGGACUGGCAACAGUGCCUCUGUGCUUCCCUCCUUGAGUGUGCAGAGAUGGCUACAUGUGUAUUCUGGACCAAGAAGGGUGCUCCACAGGACAGGGAGUAUGGUGGUUCAGCAUUUGCAAGUAUCACACCUAUGAGAACAGCAUGCUGGGAAACAGCACAGUACAGCUGGGUCAUGAAUGGCUUCCACUAGGGUGGAAGGGCUCCUGAUUACUGCUGGUUUCCUUGGCAGGCGAGUCAUAUCCUUCAAAUUGUUCCCAUAAUCACCUUCCUUCUGGUUCUGACGCUCCCUCUUCCUUCUCUUAGGACCCUGAGUGUCAUGGCCCACCUCAGUUCAUCUCCCCAUCUCUGGAUCUGUAAUGCCAUCCCACCUGCAAAGUCCCCUUUGCUACUGACAGACACAUUCGUAGCUUACAGGGGUGGGAACCAGGACAUCACUGGGAGCCAUUACUCUGCUCCAGACAUGAAUACAGGUGGGAUUUUCUUGUCACCCCAAAUACAUGAAGCGAGGUGCCUGUUUGUGCAGCCUCCUGUUCUCUCCCUAAGCUAUUGCGGAUUUCACAGAAACAGAACAAUGGCUGUCACAUGCUGUUGAGGGAGCACAGCAUCCUCUCUUCAAGAUCAGAAGAAUGUAGCAGGGAAGCACUGUGGGUACCUCCUGCACACUGUGACAUCAAGGUCGCUGUGAUCCAGGAACAUUGUGGUGACAGUGACAUGCUCAAGGUCGCUGAGCCCAGUGUGAGGCUAGGAGGAAAGCCCCCUCCUUCCUGGGGAGCAGCUCUCAUGAAAGGCGUGCAUUUUGCUCUCAAAUUUUAAAGCUCCCUUUACCUGCUGUGACACGUACUCAUGGGCCAGGAAGAGCUCUGUGUUUCUAGCCAUUUCCACACUAUGACACCGGGACGUGCCCACCUUGCUAAUUGGGGAGGAUUAAAUGGAGCAGCUAUCACAAAGCCUGCAGCAGCACUCUAUUCCAGAGCAGGAGCUGACAGCAGCCUUCCCCUUCCUACAGACAUAGCCCUGGCAGAGCCUGCCUCCCUCACAAAGGCAAGAGGCCACACUGCUGAGGAAUGGUGUCUUCCCACCUGCAGAUUUCUGCUUCUCCCAGCCCGGAAUAGCUCAAGUAGGCUGUGACCUCAGCAAGCACCCUUGAGAGAGUCUCGAGGCGCCUUGAGAAAUUGCACAAGAGGCGCUCUGCAUCUGGGCUGGAUCUAUUAUUCAUGCAAGCAUGUUUCAGCGAGCUGGGUAAUUUAGAGUCUCUCGGAGAGUGCUCUCUGCAGCAGCCAUAAACCACGUUCCCAGUGCUCCAGGGGAAAAUUACCUUUCCAUUGCUCCAGCUAGGGGUCAUAUCAGAGAUUUCACCCAGGGAAGUGAGGACUGAGGAGGGGCUGAGACAGUCCAGGGCUCAAGGGCCCUCCAGAGCCCAACGCUGGGGACAUCUCCACCUGUCACUUCCUGGACGACCUCUGGAGCUUCAGCUUCCUCACUGCGAAAUGAAUGCUGACUGCAGAUGCCUAGCAGCCAGGCUUGUGCAGGAGGAGCCCAGCCCCCCACCCUCUACUCGGAGCUGCAACUGAUCUACUGCCUCUGGCGUUGUCUCCACAGGGUCAUGGAUGCCUGUCUUCCUGACUAGGGACCUAGGACACUGGAGGCACAGUGGUAGGCACACAGAAGCACAGAUUCACUGUGUGCAUUUUUAUCUCCAUCUUCAUAAAGCUGUCAUCAUGAUAUAUUUAAAAACUACAACAAAUACAGAUGCACAGAUUUUUUCCCCCAGAAAGCAGAGCACUGACAUUAAUGCACACCACUCACACAUACACCAAAGAGGAGAGAUGCAUCCAAAGAAGAAAGCAUCAACAUCCGUUUUCAGACGUUAGAGACAUGACGGGAACCUGAGGCCAGGGCUGGCUUCAGACUUUAUUUUUAGCUGUGAGAACCGUGGCACAUGUGGUGUGGCUGCUCACCCCUCUUCACUGCAGUGCCACUAGCAUUCCAUUCCACAAAUGCUUGGCUGCUGUACAGAACAGCAACUCCCCCUCUCCACCCGGCCAACAUGCUGAGCAGGAGCUGGAUAAAUCUCCAGGUGCCAGGGUCUGUGGCAGCCCCUGCACUCCACAGGGGCACCGAUGGCAUGACUUGGCCUCUCCAGGGCACUCCUCAUCCAGCAGGCCUGGCUGCUUGCAUUUUAUCUCAUUCCUUAGAGCCCGGGUGUGACAGUUCCUAGGGCUCUCCUGUGCUCAUGGCUGUCGGCUGGUGACAAGGACAUCUGUGGGGAUGUAGACCCCGAGGUGAGAGGAAAGACGGCUGUGAGCUGAACACCUGCAGUCCCAGUGGGCCAGCAUGCCACCUCAGGUGUCAGGUGAAAUCCAGGAUGCCAGUCAAAGGCUGACAUGGAGUUGGGCUCUUGCUGAGCUUCUGCCAGCUUGGUGGGCCCCACAUCAUAGUCCUGUCACUGCAGGGAUGGUGAUGUUCCCUGGGGGUGGGGGGACAGAGUGACAACCCAAACCUCAUCCUUUAAUUUCUCAGGGCCUUUGUUUUCUCUGUUUCCUAUCUAUUAAAAAAAUAAUAACCCA